UGACGAUACUUAGUUUUGAACUCGGUAUGAAUUAAAAACAAUCAUCUAAAUUACUCGUGUGCUUUUUUUAAUUAUUUCAAAUAUUUAAAUCAAGUUUGACUCCAAGCUCAGGAAGUUCUUAUGCGUCGUACUCUAACUGGGUGAGUCCAUCGCGAUGUACGUCAGUAAUCAUUGGAUCUGUCGAUAUCAAAUUAAUCUGUGUCGAGUUGGACGUGAUCAAGAAGUCAUCGCAUCCCCAAUGCAACGAUCGCUAGAGAGAAAGCUGCGAUCCCCGAAGCUGAAAAUUCAUCAAAAUUUAUGACAGUCUCGGGUGAGAAGGAAAUGAAAAUAAACAGGAAAGAAGAUAAUGGGAGAGGUGUAACUGGGGAAAGGCCUCGACCGUUGAUCAUCGCCGGUGAUGAUCUUACACGUUUGUAUUGGCAAUAACAGCAGCCAGCAUCAGCAAGAACAUGAUCAGUAUACAGGCAAGAAGCCUGAGGCCUGAAUAAAGGUAAGCUUGCUUGACACAUGCAAACCAGUUUAAGUUGAACGGGCAGUUCCGGAGUCUACA